UCUCUAAUAGCUCAGUCGGUAAAGAAUCUGCCUGCAGUGCAGGAGACCCAGGUUCGAUCCCUGGGUCAGGAA
rnacentral:tRNA from 1 species